rnacentral:tRNA from 1 species
CGUAGUUCAGUGGAUAGAGCAGUGGCUUCCGAAGCCAAAGAUCGCGGGUUCGAAUCCCGCCGG